GCACAAGCGGUGGAGCAUGUGGUUUAAUUCGACGCAACGCGAAGAACCUUACCCAGGCUCGAACGGCGAGUGACAUCCGGCGAAAGUCGGCUUCCGCAAGGACACUUGUCGAGGUGCUGCAUGGCUGUCGUCAGCUCGUGUCGUGAGAUGUUGGGUUAAGUCCCGCAACGAGCGCAACCCUUGUCUUCUGUUGCCAUCACGUUAUGGUGGGCACUCUGAAGAGACUGCCGGUGACAAACCGGAGGAAGGUGGGGAUGACGUCAAGUCCGCAUGGCCUUUAUGUCUGGGGCUACACACGUGCUACAAUGGCCGACACAAACCGUCGCGAUACCGCAAGGUGGAGCUAAUCGGAUAAAGUCGGUCUCAGUUCGGAUUGCAGGCUGCAACUCGCCUGCAUGAAGUUGGAAUCGCUAGUAAUCGCGGAUCAGCACGCCGCGGUGAAUACGUUCCCGGGC
rnacentral:rRNA from 1 species